rnacentral:rRNA from 1 species
CUGGAGGUAUCAGAAGUGCGAAUGCUGACAUAAGUAACGAUAAAGCGGGUGAAAAGCCCGCUCGCCGGAAGACCAAGGGUUCCUGUCCAACGUUAAUCGGGGCAGGGUGAGUCGACCCCUAAGGCGAGGCCGAAAGGCGUAGUCGAUGGGAAACAGGUUAAUAUUCCUGUACUUGGUGUUACUGCGAAGGGGGGACGGAGAAGGCUAUGUUGGCCGGGCGACGGUUGUCCCGGUUUAAGCGUGUAGGCUGGUUUUCCAGGCAAAUCCGGAAAAUCAAGGCUGAGGCGUGAUGACGAGGCACUACGGUGCUGAAGCAACAAAUGCCCUGCUUCCAGGAAAAGCCUCUAAGCAUCAGGUAACAUCAAAUCGUACCCCAAACCGACACAGGUGGUCAGGUAGAGAAUACCAAGGCGCUUGAGAGAACUCGGGUGAAGGAACUAGGCAAAAUGGUGCCGUAACUUCGGGAGAAGGCACGCUGAUAUGUAGGUGAAGCGACUUGCUCGUGGAGCUGAAAUCAGUCGAAGAUACCAGCUGGCUGCAACUGUUUAUUAAAAACACAGCACUGUGCAAACACGAAAGUGGACGUAUACGGUGUGACGCCUGCCCGGUGCCGGAAGGUUAAUUGAUGGGGUCAGCGCAAGCGAAGCUCUUGAUCGAAGCCCCGGUAAACGGCGGCCGUAACUAUAACGGUCCUAAGGUAGCGAAAUUCCUUGUCGGGUAAGUUCCGACCUGCACGAAUGGCGUAAUGAUGGCCAGGCUGUCUCCACCCGAGACUCAGUGAAAUUGAACUCGCUGUGAAGAUGCAGUGUACCCGCGGCAAGACGGAAAGACCCCGUGAACCUUUACUAUAGCUUGACACUGAACAUUGAGCCUUGAUGUGUAGGAUAGGUGGGAGGCUUAGAAGUGUGGACGCCAGUCUGCAUGGAGCCGACCUUGAAAUACCACCCUUUAAUGUUUGAUGUUCUAACGUUGACCCGUAAUCCGGGUUGCGGACAGUGUCUGGUGGGUAGUUUGACUGGGGCGGUCUCCUCCUAAAGAGUAACGGAGGAGCACGAAGGUUGGCUAAUCCUGGUCGGACAUCAGGAGGUUAGUGCAAUGGCAUAAGCCAGCUUGACUGCGAGCGUGACGGCGCGAGCAGGUGCGAAAGCAGGUCAUAGUGAUCCGGUGGUUCUGAAUGGAAGGGCCAUCGCUCAACGGAUAAAAGGUACUCCGGGGAUAACAGGCUGAUACCGCCCAAGAGUUCAUAUCGACGGCGGUGUUUGGCACCUCGAUGUCGGCUCA